ensembl:lncRNA
CAUGGGUCUGGGGACUGGUGGAUGACCGUAACAUGCGUCAUGGGUCUGGGGACUGGUGGAUGACCGUAACAUGGGUCAUGGGUCUGGGGACUGGUGGAUGACCGUAACAUGGGUCUGGGGACUGGUGGAUGACCGUAACAUGGGUCAUGGGUCUGGGGACUGGUGGAUGACCGUAACAUGGGUCUGGGGACUGGUGGAUGACCGUAACAUGGGUCAUGGGUCUGGGGACUGGUGGAUGACCCUAACAUGGGUCUGGGGACUGGUGGAUGACCGUAACAUGGGUCAUGGGUCUGGGGACUGGUGGAUGACCCUAACAUGGGUCAUGGGUCUGGGGACUGGUGGAUGACCCUAACAUGGGUCUGGGGACUGGUGGAUGACCGUAACAUGGGUCAUGGGUCUGGGGACUGGUGGAUGACCGUAACAUGGGUCUGGGGACUGGUGGAUGACCGUAACAUGGGUCUGGGGACUGGUGGAUGACCCUAACAUGGGUCAUGGGUCUGGGGACUGGUGGAUGACCGUAACAUGGGUCUGGGGACUGGUGGAUGACCCUAACAUGGGUCAUGGGUCUGGGGACUGGUGGAUGACCCUAACAUGGGUCUGGGGACUGGUGGAUGACCGUAACAUGGGUCAUGAGAGAAAGACAUGCAUAGUAGAAAGCCCCUUAUGAGGACUGCUUUCUUUCAAUUGCACUUUAAUGGAUAACGCUCAGACUAAAGGUAUAUUUGAAUAAAGUCAGUGGGUUGUCUGAUCUUCACGUUUUGUUUUACCUAUCGAUGUGUAAGGGUUCUCUUUUGGUGAAGGAGAGUCGGACCAAAAUGCGGCGUGUAGAUUGUGAUCCAUGUUUAAUCAACAAACGUAAACCACGAAUCAAUACAAAAACUACAAAAAACAACAAACGUGGAAACGUAACGAAAACUGAAACAGCCCUAUCUGGUGAAAACACAGAGACAGGAACAAUCACCCACAAAACCCAACACAAAACAGGCUACCUAAAUAUGGUUCCCAAUCAGAGACAAUGACUAUCACCUGCCUCUGAUUGAGAACCAUAUCAGGCCAAACAUAGAAAUAGACAAACCAGACACACAACAUAGAAUGCCCACCCAGCUCACGUCCUGACCAACACUAAAACAAGGAAAACACAUACGAACGAUGGUCAGAACGUGACACGAUGUCGUCCGGCUCUGUAGAAUCUGUUGGAAAGAUUCAUGCAUUAAUUAUUCAAACCUACAAACUUUUAUUUGGCUCUAUACUCCAGCAUUUGGGAUUUGAGAUCAAAUGUUUUAUAUUAGGCGAUGGUACAGCAUGUCACCUUUUAUUUGAGGGUGUUUUCAUAUGUUUCUGUUUUUGUAACGGUUCUCGUCCUCCUUUUCUGAGGAGGAGUAGCGAGAAGGAUCGGAGGACCAAUGUGCAGCGGUGUAAGUGUCCAUAAUAUUUUUUUAUAAAGACAAUAGAACACUCGAACAGAACAACAAACGAUGACGUGAAUAUACAAAACCGAAAACAGUACCGUGUGGACCAAACACUCACACGGAAUACAAACACCCACAACCCAAAAGUGAAACCCAGGCUACCUAAGUAUGAUUCCCAAUCAGGGACAACGACUGACAGCUGCCUCUGAUUGAGAACCAUGCUAGGCCGAACACAGAAAUCCCAAAUUAUAGAAAAAUGAACAUGGACAACCCACCCAACUCAGCCAUGACCAUACUAAAACAAAGACAUAUCAAAGGAACUAAGGUCAGAACGUGACAGUUUUACUGUUUAGAAAUGAAUGCACUUUAUGUAUCUAGUCCCCCUAUUAGAAGGUGUCAUAAGUAUUUGGACAAAUUCACUUUAGUGUAUUACGUUUAGUCAAAAGUUGAGUAUUUGGUCCCAUAAUUCCAGCACGCAAUGACUACAUCAUGCAUGUGACUCUACAAACUUGUUGGAUGCGUUUGCAGUUUGUUUUUGUUGUGUUUCAGAUUAUUUUGUGCCGAAUAUAAAUUAAUGGUAAAUAUUGUAUUGUUUAAUUCUGGAGUCACUUUUAUUAUAAAUAAGAAUAGAAUGUGUUUUCUUCUAUAUUAAAGUGGCUACCAUGAUUACAGAUAAUCCUGAAUCAAUUGUGAUUAAUGAUGAGUAAGAAAGUUACAGAUGCACAAAGAUCAUGCCCCCAAGACAUGCUAACCUCUCGCCAUUACCAAUAACAGGGGAGCAUAGGAUUUUCUUAGGAAUAUGAUAUUUAUAUAUCUGUAACUUUCUCACUCAAUAUUAUUCACGAUUCAUUCAUAAUUAUCUGUAUGAAGAAAUCCCAAACUUUUCUCACAGAAUAUAAAAGUUUUAGUAGGACUUGUAUAUGUUACUGUUCUAUUGUGUAACUAUAAUGUUAUAUUUUUCAAUUAAUUUACUGUUUUUUUAUUUUAUAAUUAUAAUUAACGAAAGAGAUUAUGUUUCCCUUUUUACAACAAUUGUGUCACAAUAUCCUGUAAAUUGACCCACUCUGGGGAAGCCCGAUGUUGUUUUUACCCUUUCUUUUGACUGGUUUUAACGUGUCUGACAGCAGCAUGAGACAGGGUUUCCCACUCUGUCCCAGGCAUCCCAGGCUUGAGUUAAUUUCUUUGUUGCAACAGGCUGUUUAGGCCCUUGGCAGGCCUGAUGACACACACAGCCAUGGUUAAUCGAUAUCCAUCUGAAUACUCCACUAUUUAUUUUACUAAGAGAGGACUGUAGUGGGCAUUGUCAACCAGGUCACACUGUGGGAGAAGGCAAGAUAAGAGAAAACAGAAAAGAAGGAGAUGGAGAGAGAGGGUGGGGAGAGAUAUAGAGAAAGAGAGAUGUUUUUAGGGUUGCAUGGUUUGUGAUGCACUAAUCCUUUGUUUUCAAUGCUAAACAUUGACAUACAAGUCAAUACAUGUCUUUUAAAUACAAUGGGCUAUUUCUGACCAGAUUAUGUAAUGUAAAUGAGUUGUAAAAAAAUAUCCUGAAACUGUCAAGUUUGGACACACCUACUCAUUCAAAGGUUUUUCUAAAUGUGUUAUAAUUGUCUACAUUGUAGAAUAAUAGUGAAUAGACCAAAACUAUGAAAUAGCACAUAUGGAAUCAUGUAGUAACCAAAAAAGUGUUAAUAAACUAAUCAAAAUGUCAUAGUUUUGAAGUCUUCACUAUUAUUAUUAUACAAUGUAGAAAAUAGUAAAAAUAUAGAAAAACCCUUGAUUGAGUAGGUGUGUACAAACUUUGUACUGGUACUGUAUAUAUAUGUGAUACAGAACAAAUUUGACAUGGAAUGGUACAGAAGAACUGACAUGGAAUAUUCAUGACAGAACUUGACCCUAUUUGUAUUUUGGUUAAGCUGAAUGUCUGGUUUCCAAUUUCUUUAGCACAAACACAAUUUUAACCACUUUUCCUCCUUCCUGUUUUCAAUUAUGACCAUACAUGUUUUGGUUUUGUUUCACUGUGUGAUAUUUCACCACUUGUUUUCUAUGAGAUAUGGAGGACAGAGAAAUCAUGUGGCAGUAGCAGCAACACACAACUCAAGAUAUGACCUGCUUCCUGUUUCUCUUCCUGUAUCAGCUAAAGUUCAUUAUACCUUUCUCUUCUUGCUAAAAGGUGGUAGAGGCAAGAUGUUCAGUUGGACUGAGUGAUGCUGUCCAUUUAAGUCUUGUCACUCAAUAUUGUUGAUGAUUAAGUAAAGCUAACUAAAGGCUGAAGUGCUUAUGAAGCUCUUGAAUGGAACAAGUGAAAGUUUUUGUUGCUACUGUAUGUCCUUCUAGAAUAAACAUUUAGGUGCACAGAUGCUGUAGUAAAGCAGAGAAGGGACAGGAAGAGAGGCAGACUGUCUCUUCGUCAUCUUGGGUGGUGACUUCUCAUAUCCUUCUUCACUCCUGUGUUAUAUUUAUUUUUUUGUGUGCAAAGCCCUUUGGUACAAAGCUUUGUCACCCCAUGUUGGUAAGCUUUACUUGGCUUCCUGCCACAGUAAAAGUAUGUAUUUUUCAGCUGAAAUCACAGUGAAUUUGGGUAAUUAUGUUAUCUUUUUGCAGACACUCUUUUCCAGAGGAAUUAGGGUUAUGUGCCUUGCUCAAGGGUACAUCUGACCAUUUUUUUUUAACCUAGUCUCCACAGAGAUUCAAACCAGCGACCUUCCGGUUACCGGUGCAACACUCUUAACUGCUAGGCUACCAGCAGGCCUACAGUGUUGUGUUUAGUGAGGUGAAAUGUUCAGAAUGUUUAUAGAUAGAAAUGUAAUGUAUAGAGCUGACACAAUUCCCCAUUCUACAUGCCAGACAAUCAUACAUGUUUAUGAUUGUUCUUUGAUGUUCAAUCAUCCUGAACAGGCCCUUGUUGGUGGUGUGACUAAAUCUCUGCUGAUCUGAGUCUGACUUCCUCUAGGGAUUUUCGUUUUUGGUGUACAGACAUCUAUUAACCAACAAUUAAAAGA